AUCUUCCAGGGAGAUAUAGGCAUUGAAGGUAUCCAAGGUGUCAAUGGUGAAACGGGAGAAAAGGGAGAAAAGGGCCCCAAAGGCGAGGUUGGAGACGCGGGUGUACAGGGUCCCCACGGUGGUCGGGGGAAGCGUGGGCCAGGGGGCGAGCCUGGACGCACAGGCCCAGUCGGAACAAAGGGGGUCCGUGGCGAUGGAGGACCAGUUGGAUUUCAGGGG